AGGAAUCGCUUCUAGGGUUCCGAUCUAGUGAGAGAACUAGAUGUCUGGUCCAAGAGAAGCAGCCAAUAUUCAAUUAUCCCUAAAAAAUACGAUGGGGAAAUUGAAUCGGUCACACGGCGGGAGAAAAGCCCGGGAGAA
rnacentral:sRNA from 2 species